UCGCUUCGCUUCCUCAGUCGCAACCUCUCUUCUUGCGCGUGCGUGCAGCCCUUAGGCUCAGCCGCCGAGGCGGAGGGACCGUGGGGACUGUGGGCCCAGGGGUCCAUAGAUGACAUGCCAUUCGAUAGAUAUUUAUUCUGGUGUUCCAGGAAAACAAAUAACGGUACAGCUUAAGCGAAAAGAAAAACAUCUUACUGCCAGUGUCUAAGCUCCUUUAACAACGGAAUGUGUCUGAGACCUUGUGUACGGAUACACGUGUACUUAAAACAGCCCCGCCAGUGUGCAGAGCUCCUGCUGUUAAGUCGACGACGGUUUGUGGGAGCUACCGCAGUUAAGCCUCAGAACAACUUUAUGAGAUGAUUUCUCAGAAGUAGGAAUACUAGUUCCCAAAAAGAAUCAGGAAGUUCGACAGUGUUGCAGGUACUGAUGGAUACAGGCACACUGACAGCCAUGAAAGUAAGAACUGAGUGUUACAGAAACUCUGAAAAUACACAGAGUGAAAAUUCAGUAUUAUUGCCAAGACUGCACAACAAGAAAUCAUAAAGAAGUCCUUAAGACAGAAGGGAAAUGAUACCAGAUGGAAAUACAGAUUUACACAAAGGAAGGAUGAGCACUGGAAAAGAAUGUAUUUUCCAGGAGGGAUGGCCUAUAUCUUUUUGUUAACUCCAGCUCCUGCCAAGUAUUUGACACAUAAAAGAUGUUCAAUGAAUGUUGGAUUGGUUCCUGGAAGUGAAACUACUGUAUCAAAGAUACGUUUGGAAGACUCCAGAAAGGUAGGUAAUACAGUAAUAGAUGAGUUUGCAAAUUUCAUUGCAUUCUUAGAAACACUAGUUAUUAGCACUUAUUUUCAGUAUCUGUCAGUCUUUGGGGAGACUUUCUAUAAUUUAGUGCGACAAACUUGCAGUUUUGCUCAUACACUCAUAUUAAUAACUUUACUAUUUCAAGGACUUAAAGUUCUUUGUUUUCUCCAUGAUGCUUAACAGAGCCUUGCCCAGACAUUGAAGAAAUGCAUAUUUUUAAUUGGCUUUGGCAACAUUUCUUUUAAAAUAAAUUAUCUUUUGAACACAUGGAAAGGUGAAGAAAAGUAACAUUAAAAAAGAUCCAAAUUAUUUUACUUAAUAAAAUAGAAGAUUGUACUCAAUUCUUAAUGUAGUAGUAGAGCAUUAUUGCUAUCAGCCAGCAAUGUUAUAUUUAUUGAAUUUAUUUAUUGAAAUCAUACUGAUUUUAUUGCUUAUUGUGUCAUUAUCACUAUAGCACUUUCCAAAAUGUUUCAAAAUGCUUAGUUUAUAAGGUUAAGAAAAACGUUCACUAGAUAACUACUUUGAAAUAAUUUCUUCAGCGCUGCCUUCAUUCAAGAGGACUAGAAGCAUACUGGCCUAUUUCCAACUUUCUUUCAUGUUAUCUUUGCUAUGAAGUCAUUCUAUAGAUAGGGUAAUAAGCAUUUUGGCAUACAGAAAAAUAGCAUCUGUAAAACUAUAUGGCACAGUUUGGCUGGAGUUGUUCCUCCUUGAGAACUGCAUUACGUAAUUUAAAAGUGUUUUCUUAAGCUCCUUUGGGCUGCCUCCAUGGUAGCUAUGAAGUCACUGAGAACUACGAACAGUUUGGGGCUUGAUAACAAAGUCUAUUAGUUUAAAGUGAACACUGUCAGUAUUUUAAAAAAUCAUUGCUUGAUAAGAAAUUUUAAAAACAAAGAUAUACUUAAUUCAUUUUAUUUUUUAAGGAAGCUUGCUACCUCAAAAAAUCAUCGAGAAAUACACACACAAAAAGGGUUCAUAAAUGUACAUUUGUUCAUUACUUAGAUGCUCUUAUUUUAAAACCUGUACUCUAUAGCAUGAAUUCACAGUGUGAUUUCAACUCAAUGUAACUAUAAUUAUGCAAAAUUACCAACAUGUAUAAAGCACAGCCUUUAGGAGAGUAUGAAUUAUUAAAAUGACUUCAGCACUAUUUCUGUCUCUAAAUCAUAAAGGAAGUUUCUAAGGGAACAUCAAAGAUGUAUAAAUUAUAAUAAUAUCAGCUCUGGGAGAAUUUUAAAAGAUACUGGGUUAAAAGAAAAGAUUAAUCUCAACUACACAAAAAAAGGUAGUAUUUUCACUUCCCUAGAGAGAGAACUCUUGAGCCCCUUUACCAACCAAAUAACAAUGUGUACUAGUUUUAAAGAAAAAUAAUGCAUUGUGCAUUGUAAAAGUGGGAGAAGAGUCAUUCAGAAUUUGUAUGGUAAUCAAGUGUUAUAUCACCUCAAAGAAACAUGCAAAUUCUUAUAAAUACCUAAAGUCUCAGCCAUCACUUUAGAAUUACUGAGUUUUAUGAAAAACAAGCCCAAGUAAAGUCGAGAUGAGAUCCUGACAUCUGAAAAGAUAUAGACCUUUUUUAGAAAUACCAUUUUAAUUAUGUAACAUGGAUUUAUUAUGAAAUUACUUAUUGGAACAAUAAUCUCCUUAGCAUUUUGCUUUUUAACUUUGAGAAGUCAUUUUGUGGCAUUGCCAAUGAUCUAGUGAGGUCCAAAAUCAGUGACAAUUCAAGGAGGGAAUGAAAAAAACUUUUAGGACCUGAUCAUCUGCUUGAAGGUACAGCCUCUGUAGGUUUCCCAUCUAGCUUGGGAGAGAGAGGUGUCUGUGUAUGAGUGGCCUGACCUGGAGGGGAGGGAAUGGUCCUGAGGGAGAAGAAGGGAAGAUUAUGAGACUGCCCACCUAGAUUGGCUCAUGAUUAGCUUUGCUGGACCAGUAAAAUGUGUGGGGUUUUAUAUUCCAUUCUAAUAUCAAAAAGAAGAUUUUUUUAGGUUUAAGCAUUUUUUCAUGUACAAAAUACUGUUUAUAAUCUAUUUAUCUUAACAUGUGUGGUGAUUUUAAACACAUUGCAAAUUCUGUGACACUCUUUCCAUUAAAAGACAGAAUCUAA